rnacentral:lncRNA from 1 species
GCUGGGCAUGGUGGCGUGUGUCUGUAAUCCCAGCUACUCGGAAGGCUGAGGCAGGAGAAUUGCUUGAACCCGGGAGGUGGAGGUUGCCAUGAGCCGAGAUCAGGCCAUUGCACUCCAGCCUGGGCGACAAUAGCAAGACUCCGUCUCAAAAAAAAAAAAAGAAAAUCGAGACAGAGUGUUGCUCUGUUGCCCAGGCUGGAGUGCAGUGGCAUGAACAGAAGGCUCACUGCAGCCUCAACUUCCUGGGCUCAAACAAUCCUCCUGCCUC